GGCCUAAUAGCUCAACUGAUAGAGCACUGCUCUGGCAUCGCAGAGGUUAAUAGGGUUUGAGUCCCUUUCAGACCU
rnacentral:tRNA from 1 species